ACGAGGAAUAUUGUGGAUCUUGGAUGGAUCAACAUCAGCAAUGCUGUAUAAACUAUCGAUAAUGGCAAAACAAGAAUAUUAUAUACUGUAGACAAACGAUUUUAGGUCCUACACAAGCGUCAUAUAUCUUCCUCUGGCAUCUUCUUCAAAUUUCUCAUUCUGUAUCCUCCCGACUCAGUGCUCUUUGGAAUUUUUCUGUCAGGCUUGAAUUUCUCCCUCAUUUUGUCUCAUCAUAGAUCAUAGUUACAUGACCACACAUAUAUAUACACAUACAUUGUAUAAUACUACGCAGGCUAGGAAGCUGAUAUAUCUUAAUUGGUUAUUUUGGAUCGAUAUGCAGUAUGUUAGUAUUGGACUAUUACUCUUGACGUCGUAUAUAGCAUUUCUAAGUAAUUAAGUAACUCAUAUCAACAUAAGUCACUUAUUCUGUAAAUUUAGUUAAAUGAAUUUUAGUAUGGUACUAGAUGUGGUAUUGUAUAUGUUAAUGAUUGUUUAGUAACUUGGUUCAAACGACAAAGAAA
rnacentral:lncRNA from 1 species